rfam:Salmo salar isolate Sally breed double haploid chromosome ssa01, whole genome shotgun sequence.
AGUAUUCACUACUGUAAGUUGCUCUGGAUAAGAGCGUCUGCUAAAUGACUUAAA